rnacentral:tRNA from 3 species
CGCGGAGUAGAGCAGUCUGGAAGCUCGUCGGGUUCGAUUCCUGAAGGUCACUGGUUCAAAUCCAGUCUCCGCAA